rnacentral:lncRNA from 1 species
GUACGCUACUGCUUGAGCCAUAUCCCCAGUCCAAAACUUUGAAUUUUUAAUAUGGAAAUUAACUGAAGGUUUUGGUACUAAAAUUGGAGACUACUGUUAUAUCUCUAACUCCAUGUUUUUUCCCUUCCUUGGUUUACUUUAGAGUGAGUAGCAGAUUAUUUUAUAGAAUUCCGAUCACUUUUGGAGAGGCCCAAAGGAGUGGCUUUGAAGAGCUAAAUCAACAUACCCCUUUGUCCCUGCAGUGUCCUGUUGAAGGAUCUGUUUUUCUUUUGAACAGUCAUUCCAUAAAUAUUAGCUGUCCAUAAUUUGAAAACAUUGGUUUCACAAGCAUUUGCAAAUUAUUUUGUUGUUGUUGUUGUUGUCAUUGUUGAACUUUCAGAGCUUUAUUCUACAUAGAAACAAAAUUUGCUAGCCUCUUCCACAAAGACCUAAGACCCUAGGGAAGACUACUGCAAAGUUGAGGGAAAAAAAAUACUGUUUCACUUUUAGUAAUUAAAGUUGCAUUAAAUUAGAAAGUACUUCAUUCGUCUUGAAUGUCGGAGCCUGAGGACAAACAUUUAUUUGAAAGAGAAGAUAUGAUGAUAGCUUCAGAGAGGUUCUAAAUCAACAUUCAAGGUGAGAAAUGUGUGUGGAGUUCUCAGAUAUAGGUUUCCUUAAUCAUGUAUACUUUUCUUUUGGUUUGAAGAAUAUUACAAGGACAUCCUUACUGUGAUCUUUAUUGUGUUUUGAUUUGAUUUGAUUAGCACAGUGACUGAAAGAAAUCAGCACAGGAAGAGGCUUUCCUGAGGUACUGGGCAAGGGUUUGAAUAAGGGAGCAAUUUAUUAUAGAGGACAUGCAUGUCCUUGGCUGUGUGACAAUGGCAGAUAAGUAACCUAUCUUCUGUGACUCUCAUUCUUCAUCAGCAGCAUUGCUGUGGCUCUUAGGCUAAAUGAUAUAACUAACAUGUCUGGCACAGCAGACGUUCACAAAAUUUAAGUCAACCCUCCCCAGCAGAAUUCAUGCUGUGAGUGGCAGAAGAACAGUAUCUAUAGGAUUCUUACAAGGAAGACCCACAAAAGGGUGAUGGGGAAGAAAUUGUGGAUUAUGUGGUUCUUCAUAGGAUUGUCACUUUUCAGAUCCUGUACUUUGAAUAAUAUCCACUGGAAAAUAAGGGAUGGGUGGGCUGAACAGCCUCAGGUUUGAUAGGUGGUGGAUUCCACCAAUGUUUCUCUGCUUGUAUAAGUAGAACCUAAAAGUUUACUAGUGAACCAGGGUUAUAGUUCCUAAAGCCUUAGGAAAACAUGAGCAGUGGCAAAGUCAAGUAAGG